UAAGACGGGAGAGGCAAGCGUUGUUCGGAAUCACUGGGCUUAAAGCGCGUGUAGGCGGCCGUGCAAGUAUUUUGUGAAAGCCCUCGGCUCAACCGAGGAAUGGCAAGGUAUACUGCUCGGCUUGAGGCGGGUAGGGGUGCCUGGAACUCUAGGUGGAGCGGUGAAAUGCGUUGAUAUCUAGAGGAACGCCAGUGGCGAAAGCGGGGCACUGGGCCCGUCCUGACGCUGAGACGCGAAAGCGUAGGUAGCGAACGGGAUUAGAUACCCCGGUAGUCUACGCCGUAAACGAUGCGCACAAGGUUCAUCGCUUCUGACAGUUGGUGGGCCGGAACUAAAGUAAUAAGUGCGCCGCCUGGGGAGUACGGCCGCAAGGCUA
rnacentral:rRNA from 1 species